CAUUGCUCAAUCAAAUUGAGCCAAUAAUAAUCAAAUUAUUAAUUAAUUAUUCUUCUAAUUUACUAACUAUUAGUAAAUAAUUUAUUGUGACCCUUGUAUAGGAUUAAUUAUCAAUCACAUUGAUAAUUAAUCCUUCAAUGAUUCAUAAUCAUCGAUCAGCUAUUUGAUUAGACGGUACUUCUACGUAUGUUAUCCCAUAGGUUUGAACCUAAACCG
rnacentral:lncRNA from 1 species